GGGCGGUCGUGCCGAUUCUCUCGCAACUGCGCAAACUCUGCCCCGGCUCUCCAGUCUCCUCCCAAAGGCUCCUCGCUCUAGUCAGGUUCCCUUGGAGCGCCUGUGUAUCCUGUGCUUUCUGUUCAUUCUACAGUAAACAUAAAAUUCUCUGCCUGGAGUUCAGAGCACAGCAAGGAAGAGAAGAAAAAGCCAGAACAGAAAAUCCACAAAGUAGUAAGUGGGAAAUGUUCAGUAACCUUUUAAUCCCCAAGCUUAGGACAAAUGUCCAGUGCUUCACGUACUGCUGGGACCCACAAAACUUGACUGGUGAGACUUCCUCUCAGUGACCUAGUAACCAGCCUGUGGUCUCAGAUUCAGGGACUCCUCAGACAGGUUUUCUGGAAGUCAUCCUAAAGUCAUCUUUUUCAUUAAACAAACAAAAAAAGAUGAUGAGAAAAGUAACAAAGCAACACUAAGGGCUCUGGCCCUUUGUGCUGGGGGAGUUACUUGCUGGUUCCUCCAUGCAUGGCGCUGUUGGUGGAAGCCUGGAGAAGGAGCAGGGUGGGGGCCCCAGGCCAAGUCUCUGAGCACAGGGCGUGGAUGACACUUUCCGCUGUUGUGGACCCGGUCUGUCAAUGAGAAAAGUGCCAUGCUCUGCCUGCUGCUCUCUACCAGCCCGACUUACAGGAGCCCUUGGGAGGAGGCUAUGGCAGAGGCUGUGUGAAUGAUCACAGACGACAGUUCAGUAAAACCCUCUAGUAACAGGCCCCUGCAGGAGGCUGUCCGGGACCAAAGCCGGCCACUCCACUCCGUGCUGGGUCUAAUGUUCAAAGCCAGGCACGGGAAGGUGGGAGCUUCUCAAGGGCAAGGGUGCUGUCUUUACGUGUCGCUGGUGUUUGCCACCAAACGCUUUGAAAAGCGCUCCCUCCAGGGACGAAGAAUCUGCUUUCUGGCCUAACCACCACUCUGCCCAAGCCCCGGGGGCUGCUCCCUGAGCCUCGGGGUUCCAGCGAGACUUGGAGCAGGUGUGACAGAGGGCGUGAGCCUCCUGAGGCGCCGCACACACACCUUCCUGGAAGAGCCCGCCAGAUGCCUGUGCUCCCAGGCCUCUCAGUGCUGCGCAGCCAGCACGCUGUGCGUCUCCUGACGGAGGUCACGAAGGAGACGUUUAUCUGUAUUUGUAUUCCUCCUCAAGGAUUCUGCUGUUGGCCUAAUGCUAUCAUUCCCUUGGGAAUUAGGUUCACUUAAGGAGGCAGUUAGCAUUCGGGCUGCUAUGGGACAUUGUCCUCCCUGAACUCAAAAACAGACAGCUCCUGAAAGCAACUGGAAAGUCUCCGAGAACACAGCCUUUUAAAAUAUAAAUGUAAUGUUUUAGUUAGAAAUCUCAACCUUUACCAAAAUGGUCUGAAUUGGUUGCUUGAAUAGAACUGAGUCCCCGCAGUCACCGACAGCCACGCGAGGCCUUGGGCCAGAUGCCGCCCCAGAGCGGACGGUCCCUGAGCCUUGGAGCCCUCAGUAAGGGAGCGGCUUUCUCCCCAGUCUCAGUCCAGAGGAUGUAGUGACUGUAAGAACGUGCACACCGAUUCAGUUCUGAGUAUCUGUGGGACUUGGAAAGUCCAGGGAAGUACAGGACCAUCCACCAAAAUCCCCCCCAGUCCCAGGACCAGAGACAGCCAGUGAUGCCCCGGCAAACAUCCAGCUCACAGGAGGAGGGCCCACGGCCCCAGGAGGCUCAGGCCGUGCAGCCUGCCAGGGCAGGGAGAAGAGACCCGCCCCGGGGGUGGACCUGGCCUCACUCCUGCUCCAUUUGCUGACUAUAGCUACUUAGAUAUAAA